ensembl:lncRNA
CUAAAAUCAAGUCUAAUAUGACAGUAUGUACACUGUCAACCAUUUUGGCGUCAUAAAUUGACGAAAUGUGAACGUACACUUCAAAUAGGCUUCCGGUCUUUUGAAGGAUCUUGCCCAAAGCACACUGGAGCUGUUGUGGGGACUUGUGGUGGCGACCAGCAUCUUAUUAAGAUAACAGAUGCAGGUUUCUCCGGUGCUUCAGGUAGCUGUCGGUGUGACCACCGGUCCAGCCGAGAUGUAAUGACUUUGGUCCUUUACAGGGUGCUGCGGGGGGGAAGGGAGCGCGAGGAGAGAUCGGUCCAGCCGGGCAAAUGGGCGUUCCUGGAAGCUCGGGCUCCCCCGGGAGAGACGGCCCCCCGGGGGCAAGGGGUCUGCCGGGUAAUAGUGGACCACAGGGAAGACAAGGGCCUCCUGGACCUCUUGGAUCCCCAGGGGCACCAGGAGCUCAUGGACCUGUCGGUUCAGCAGGAUCUCAAGGAGAUCAAGGACUUCCUGGUCCUUCUGGUACCAAAGGUGAUAAGGGAGAAAGAGUAA